AUUUUAUUAAGUAACACUGUUUAUUCUCUUUAUCAUAAGUUAAAAUAAUAUUAAUACAAUAACAGCGAUAACUAAGAUAAGUCUAGUAAAGUUUAGGUGCUUAAAUAAAAUUUAUUUUGACCGUUUUUAUUACUUAGAAAAGGUAAUCAGCUCGCCUCUUUUUAAGAGACAGAGCAGUGUUAACCUUGUUAAAAAUAUUAUUUUACUACGCUCUCCUAAGUAACAUGUUAGCGAGUUGGUCACCUCACUAUACGUAAAGUGAGGUUUUUUUUAUUGGUUUGACAGCAGGAUUGAUGUUCAUUUUGUUGAAUAGAUUCAAGAGAAGGAGCCCAAAAAGAGACGGCAUAUUCAAGUUUAUUAUCAAAUGGUAUUGUUGAAUGAAAGAUUUUUCUUUUGAAACACUAAAUCGGUAUUUGAUUUUAUAAAAGAGUUUCAAAUCAAAACAUUUUCUAAUCUGAAAGAAGAGGUCAAUAAUAGCUCAAACAAAAACUUAUUUGAUAACGAAAUUUAUUUUCAACUAUUUGUAUAAUCACGUAAAAGCAAAAAAAUUGGAUUCAAGAAAUGUAUUUAGCAAUCAAUUAGAUUUAUAUAGAUUACUUAAACCAAAAAAUGGAUUCAAGAAAUGUAUUUAGCUACCCAUUAAAUACACACUACCGCUGUCAUUAGCAGAUUGCAUUAAAAGUAAAACAUCAAAAGUUUCCAUCCUUUAAAAUCUAGAAGAAAAUACAGGACCAUGGUCUGAUGAAAUUCUAUCACGAUAGUUUUAUUGAAGUUAUGGUUACGUAAGGUGUGGUUAUUCUAAAACAAGAAAAAACUGCAGCUUUCAUAUUUUGGUCAAUUGGCUCAAAAGUUGAUUCAGAUAAUGUUGAAUCUAAGUGUCAAUGCAGACCGCAUAGAUUUUUUAUUCAAAAAAGAUAAUCCAGUUAAAAAAUGGUUAAAAAAACUAUCGAGUUUCUUGUUAAUUAAUAAUGCGGAAAUAAUUCAGUUUGAACAUAAAACAUUGGAUAUUUUUAUGUUACAAUUAAAGAUAAAUGUCUCUCAAUUAAAGAUAAAUAGACACUCAAUAUCAAGUAUAGAAUUUGUCGAGGAAUUGAAAACAGUACAAUAAAAUACAUUAGAAGCUGACAAUAGAAUUUUUCUUCACGUUUUAAGCAUUCAAAACAGGUUUCAUAAAGUUCAUAAUUCACUCAUAAGCUCCAAAAACAAAUAUAUAAAAACUUCAAUGUAAUAGACUCCAACUCAAAAAUACUGGUAUAAACUCGAAUAUAAACUCUGAAAUAAAAACUAAUUCUCUCAUGUCUUGAUGUCUUCUCGUCUUUUUUUUUUAUUCUGACACCACAGUUUUUUCAUUCGCAUUUUUAUAUCAGAUGUUUCUUUUCCCCGAAUGUUUUUUUCGUUUUCCUUAACGGACUAUUGUGUACCUUCUCAGUGACAGGGUUUAUUAUUUUUUAUCAGUUUAUCAUGUAAAUGUUUAUUCUUAUAUUGCACCCGGACUAGAGAUAAAGAUAGAAUUUCAGAUCUUUUAUAUAUAUUAACUAAACAUAAUUGAUAUGUUAUAGCGUGUUUUUAAAUUUGCUUAAUUAAAGAUUUUAAUAUUUAUAUUGUAAAGGAAUUUUUUAUUAUUAUUAUGAUUUUUUUACGUAUUGUUUUCACAAAAUAAGUUUCAUUUUAAGCUUGUUCAGCUAUGUGCGCUUAAACGUCGCACAGUAGGGUCACAGUAGGGUCACAGUAGGUCACAGUAGGGUAGAAAUGCUUUAAAUGGACACUUGACGCAAAUGAAAAAUGGCGUUAUGAAACAAUUUUUGGUGGUAAUGUAUAAAAGAGUCUAUAGUCUACCUUAUACACCUGUUUUUUUUAGGGUAGGGCUGACUUUUAACCUUGUAGAACAUAUAAUCUUGCUCAAUUCUUUUGUUUAAAAGUUAUUAGUAAU